AGUUAACGCUAGCGGCGUUCCUAAUACAUGCAAGUCGAAAGAAUUGGCGCACGGGUGAGUAAUAUAUAGCUAAUCUGCCCCUUGCUGGAGGACAACAGUAAAAAAUGACUGCUAAUACUCCAUAGCAAGGGAUGAGACUAUAUCGUAUCAGCUAGUCGGUGUGGUAACGGCCUACCGAGGCUAUGACUCGUAACUGGUCUGAGAGGAUGAUCAGUAACAUUGGAACUGAUACACGGUGCAAACUCCGACGGGAGGCAGCAGUAGGGAAUAUUUCGGAAUGGGGGAAACCCUGACGCAGCAACGCCGCGUGGAGGAUGACACUUUUCGGAGAGUAAACGCCUUUUGUUAGGGAAGCGGUACCUAACGAAUAAGCACCGGCUAACUACGUGCCAGCAGCCGCGGUAAUUC
rnacentral:rRNA from 1 species